CCCAAACUCUCUUCUAGGGUCAUGCCUUCAUUUGUUAUAUGAGCCAUAUGCACUCGCUUGUCAACACCUAUGGGUACAGGAUGCCUGGUGCUAAACCAAAAAAUCACUCUGGGAAGGAAACUAGGCUGAAACCCAGCUUGGCAAUGAUGCUAGCACACCACAACUGUCUUACAGUGAUGACAGCUGUUUUUUGUGGCAGAAGAAACGAGGUGCAUCAAAGCAUCUGAGCACAUAAAUAUGGACUGAAGGGUCACACCUGCAGUAUUACAUCUUCUCCGUCAAUUGCAACCCAGACUUGCUGCUCAGCUCUCAAGGAAUCGGUCCUGCUGAGCUGAACUUGGAGAGUUAGUGAUUUUGGAGAGGAGCCCUCGAGGAUGUCCUGGAUGACCUCCUGUGAGACACGUUUCUUUGAACUGCAGUGAUCUGACUUGGCUAGGGAAAGAAAGUCAUGAAGACAUUAUUGCUGCAAAUGAUAUCUCUGCUCAAUAUGGAUUUUCUCCUCAAAAAACUAGUUAGGUAUUUGGAUAAACAUCUUCUGAACAAGUUCUUUUAUUAUUAUGUUGAUGAUUUUUGGAAGCAAUACAGCAUUAAUGCAAUACCCACCCAACACAAUGUAAAAAGCAGCAAGUAGACCUGCAUUACAUUGUUUUAUCAGACUACAUGGAGGUGGGAUUUCCGGAACUUCUCUCCAAUGGAAAAUAGUUCCAAAAUUCCAGAGCUUUCAAAAGGAGAGCAGAUAUUCUCUUUUUCUACCCAUCACUUUUCCAUAAAUAGAACUUUACAUCCCCCAAAAUAAACUGAUGACUUCUUGCCAAGGUUGAAAUAUAUUUCAUUCAAGCACAGAAUAACAUUCCUUUUACUUAAGCAGGCAGAGAUGUUAUUGCAAAGUAAAACUAUUUAGAAGAAAGAAAAUUUGUUCUUAAAGUCAACCACAGUUUUCCCAAUGGAAUCAGUGCUGGGUCAUGCUGUAUUGGUACCGGAAAUUGGAAAUUGACUACAAUUUUCCGGUUUCUUCAGAAAUUUCAACAUCUCUGAUGGUGAAUGCCAGAAGAAAUGGAAGUGACGGGUUACCAUGUUAUGCACAGGUGCAUUAGCCUGGAGAGUGGUGCUUUUCUCUCCUUGUUCUUCCAGAGAAAAAGAAGAAGAGCAAAGUUUCUUUUUGAGCCUAUUCUCUGACUGACAAAUAAAUCAUCCUUCAUCUCACUCCGGAAAGUGAGAUGACCAAAGAGCACUUUUUAUAUCAAGAGAUGGCAUUUUUAUCAAUGCGGGCUUGAGUUGUAAAACACAAAGUAUACCUUUUAAGUAUAAUUUUAUGAACAGAAAAAGUAUAUUUUGGUCUGGUGCAUGAAUCAUUUAUCUACCUUACUCCUGCCAUUUGUAUUUCCUGCCAUUUGGGAAUAUCCCAAAUGGUCUCUGCUUCUCUCUGUUGUUUUAUAAUUCCUUUUGUACGGCAGCCAAUGCUAACAUUUCUUUCUGAGUGCGAAAGUUGCUUAUGGUUUUGAUGUACAUGUACUGUAUAGUCCUUGCCAAGUACUUGGGGUGGACAAUGUGCUUUCUGAGUUCAUUAAGAAGAAAAUUUGACCUUGUUCACCUUGAGGAGAGAUAAUUUCUGUGUUGAGUUCUUGCAGGACGUGAGAAAUGUAGAAAAGCUGCAGAAGCAGAGGGCCAAUGAACUCAACAAUAAACUUAUUUCUCUAGUGCCUUUACAACUAUCAGUAAUGGCCUUUUCUGGGCAGCACAUGGGAAAAAUGAAUGCUACACAGGGGUGUGGGCUCUGCCUAGACACUGAAAAACCUGCUGGGAUUUUUUCAGAAGAUACUCAGAAUGGAUCUCAGAGAAGCCUCAGUGCCACCUGCUUCCUAUGCUCUGGUGUAGUUCUUGGUCUGUUAUGAAAACCAGGGAUGACUUGGCCUCAUUUAUUUUUCCCUUGUCUUAUCAGUCUAGUUUGCUGUGUGCAGGCUCUCUCUGGCUGAGUACCAGCAACAUGCUCUGAUCUGAGACAAUGUAGUCAUAGGCCCCAGGAUGCUGCUCCCUGGACUAAGGGACACUGUAGGACACACUCCCGUGAAAUUUUUCCCAUCAUCAGGGAAUCCCGACAAAUUAACUUAAGGCAACACUGGUAUAAAUGCAGCACAUACAAAAGCUCACAUUUCUUUACUUCACUGAAUUUAAGCUGUUUAUUUGUCUUAUAGUGUAAAUGGGACUAGCGGUUUAGGCAAUAGCUAGCAUUUUGUAAAUAAAAAUAUAUAAUUAGCCUGUUAUGCCAUCACCCUGUAUUCAUCUUUACCAUAGGUCAUCAAAAUGUGGAAGGAGAAAACAAGGGGCAAAUCACUCAAUGAUUUUUUCUUGCAGUGUCUUCCUCUUAUUUACUGCAGCAUGAUAAUUUUCAGGGCUUUCUAUGCAUUCACGGCUCUCCCUACCCUUGACCAGUUUGUGCUAAAUCUGGCUGACACUUUGCUGAGGACUGAAAAGAAAAAGAUAAUGAGCACUUCCUGUGGCAGAAGUGGCUUCCAUUUUUGGCUUAGAGACUGAGCAAAUUAAAGCACAGGCUUCGCAGUAAAGCACUGUUUCACCUAAGAAUGUUUUACUGUCUCAGCAAGUGCUCUGCACUCCAACACUGCAAGUAGCACAGAUCAUUUACUUCAUUCUGGAAAUAAGGGUAAGGGGAACUGAGUAAACUUGUUGGUUUGAGAGAAGCAUACAGUUUGCUGACUGACCCUGAUAAUAAUUUUUUUAGGGUUUUCCGUGAAAUUUUCAUUUUGGGAAAUGAAAAAGAAGAAAAGUAGUACCAGUUAUUGUCAACUUGCAACCACCUCAGACUGUCUACCCUAUUUCAUUUUUGCAACUUCAGUCAGUAGAAGGAUGGAAGAUGAAAGUAGAAACUGCAUGCAAUUAUAAUUUUUUGUGCCUCCACCCUCUAGAACCCACAGAAGCUCAAGCUUCAUGACUGAAUGGAAACAAAAGAGGCCCAGUCAUUCCUGCCUGGUGGUUUUGUAUUUUGUGUAUGUAAUUUAGGGGAGCCGCUAGCAGCAGACACAGACAGUGUAGUGAUCUGCUGAGAGUGGGUAUGAAUCCUGUCUUACUUUCAAUGGAGUCCUUAGGAAGAGGCUAUGCAGGACCUACUAAGGCCCAGACAGUAUCUGAAACUGCCACUCACACCAGAAAGCUACUGCUCACUUUGAGAUCCCAUGUCAGCUCUUUAAAUCAAACCGU